AGCGAACGCUGGCGGCAGGCUUAACACAUGCAAGUCGAGCGGGCGUAGCAAUACGUCAGCGGCAGACGGGUGAGUAACGCGUGGGAACGUACCUUUUGGUUCGGAACAACCCAGGGAAACUUGGGCUAAUACCGGAUAAGCCCUUACGGGGAAAGAUUUAUCGCCGAAAGAUCGGCCCGCGUCUGAUUAGCUAGUUGGUGAGGUAACGGCUCACCAAGGCGACGAUCAGUAGCUGGUCUGAGAGGAUGAUCAGCCACAUUGGGACUGAGACACGGCCCAAACUCCUACGGGAGGCAGCAGUGGGGAAUAUUGGACAAUGGGCGCAAGCCUGAUCCAGCCAUGCCGCGUGAGUGAUGAAGGCCCUAGGGUUGUAAAGCUCUUUUGUGCGGGAAGAUAAUGACGGUACCGCAAGAAUAAGCCCCGGCUAACUUCGUGCCAGCCGCCGCUGUAAG
rnacentral:rRNA from 1 species